rnacentral:rRNA from 1 species
AUUGAACGCUGGCGGCAGGCCUAACACAUGCAAGUCGAACGAGUGGCGGACGGGUGAGUAAUGUCUGGGAAACUGCCGGAUGGAGGGGGAUAACUACUGGAAACGGUAGCUAAUACCGCAUACCAUCAGAUGUGCCCAGAUGGGAUUAGCUAGUUGGUGGGGUAACGGCUCACCAAGGCGACGAUCCCUAGCUGGUCUGAGAAGAUGACCAGCCACCCUGGACCGGAGCCACGGUCCUGACUCCUACGUGAGGCAGCAGUGGGGAAUAUUGCACAAUGGUGGCAAGCCUGAUGCAGCCAUGCCGCGUGUAUGAAGAAGGCCUUCGGGUUGUAAAGUACUUUCAGCGGGGAGGCGUUACCCGCAGAAGAGGCACCGGCUAACUCCGUGCCAGCAGCCGCGGUAAUAC